rnacentral:rRNA from 1 species
UACGGGGGGGGCAAGCGUUGUUCGGAAUUACUGGGCGUAAAGGGCUCGUAGGUGGCCAACUAAGUCAGACGUGAAAUCCCUCGGCUUAACCGGGGAACUGCAUCUGAUACUGGAUGGCUUGAGUUUGGGAGAGGGAUGCGGAAUUCCAGGUGUAGCGGUGAAAUGCGUAGAUAUCUGGAGGAACACCGGUGGCGAAGGCGGCCAUCUGGACCGGAACUGACGCUGAGGCGCGAAAGCCAGGGGAGCAAACGGG